ACCGAUAGUGAACCAGUACCGUGAGGGAAAGGUGAAAAGCACCCCGAUGAGGGGAGUGAAACAGUACCUGAAACCGGAUGCCUACAAGCAGUGGGAGGGUCCUUGAGACCUGACCGCGUACCUCUUGCAUAAUGGGUCUGUGACUUAGUGUAUCAAGCAAGCUUAAGCCGGUAGGUGUAGGCGCAGCGAAAGCGAGUCUGAAUAGGGCGAUUGAGUUUGAUGCAUUAGACCCGAAACCCGGUGAUCUAUGCAUGACCAGGCUGAAGGUGGGGUAACACCCACUGGAGGGCCGAACCGAUCAAUGUUGAAAAAUUGUCGGAUGAGUUGUGCUUAGGGGUGAAAGGCCAAUCAAACCGGGAAAUAGCUGGUUCUCCGCGAAAUCUAUUGAGGUAGAGCGUCGAAUGAUUGCCGUUGGGGGUAGAGCACUGGAUGGAUGCGGGGGUCGCGAGAUCUACCAAUUCUAACCAAACUCCGAAUACCAACGAGUCUAGUUCGGCAGACAGACGGCGGGUGCUAAGGUCCGUCGUCAAAAGGGAAACAGCCCUAACCUACAGCUAAGGUCCCCAAGUCAUCACUAAGUGGGAAAGCAUGUGGGAUUUCCAAAACAACCAGGAGGUUGGCUUAGAAGCAGCCAUCCUUUAAAGAAAGCGUAACAGCUCACUGGUCUAAAUAAGAGAUCCUGCGGCGAAGAUGUAACGGGGCUAAAGUGAUGCACCGAAGCUUAGGGUUCAGUCUUUGACUGAGCGGUAGCGGAGCGUUCCGUAGGCCGAUGAAGCCAUCUGGUAAUGGGUGGUGGAGGUAUCGGAAGUGCGAAUGCAGACAUGAGUAGCGAUAAACAGUGUGAGAUGCACUGUCGCCGAAAUCCCAAGGGUUCCUGCUUAAAGCUAAUCUGAGCAGGGUUAGUCGGCCCCUAAGACGAGCCCGAAGGGGGUAGUCGAUGGGAACACGGUUAAUAUUCCGUGACCUGGAGGUGUGUGACGGAUGGCGUAAAUUGUCAGGCCUUAUCGGAUUGGUCCUGGCAGUGAAGUUGUCCCAGGAAAUAGCCCCUCCAUUAUAGACCGUACCCUAAACCGACACAGGUGGGAUGGUAGAGUAUACCAAGGCGCUUGAGAGAAGUAUCCUGAAGGAACUCGGCAAAUUGCCUCCGUACCUUCGGAAGAAGGAGGCCCUGUCUUAAGGCAACUUUUGGCAGGGGGCACAGGCCAGGGGGUAGCGACUGUUUAGCAAAAACACAGGACUCUGCUAAGUCGGCUUCAAGACGACGUAUAGGGUCUGACGCCUGCCCGGUGCCGGAAGGUUAAGAGGAGGAGUGCAAGCUCUGAAUUGAAGCCCCGGUAAACGGCGGCCGUAACUAUAACGGUCCUAAGGUAGCGAAAUUCC
rnacentral:ncRNA from 1 species